rnacentral:pre_miRNA from 1 species
GAAAUACUCCCUCUGUCCUGAAUUACUUGUCUUAGAUUAGUCUAGAUAUGGAUUUAUCUAGACACGUUUAGUGUUUAGAUACAUCUGUAUCUAGAAAAAUCUAAGCCAAGAUUUUUGGGAUGGAGGUAAUAGAAA